GAUGCUGGACUGGAUGAUGGACUGGUUGGGGGACUGGAUGCUGGACUGGAUGAUGGACUGGUUGGGGGACUGGUUGGUUAUCUGGACUCUGGUGGCUUUUGGCCAUGUUACCUGUUUGUUUUCCCAGUGGACCAGUAAUGUCUGUCCUCAGGUUUGGACUCAGAGUGUCUUCAGGAUCUGGUUCAUGUUCCCUCCUCAGUCCAGGACCAUGAUGCUCUCUGUUUGCAGCAGGGGGGCACUCACAGAACUUCAGUUACAUCAGAUUAUUUGUACUUUGCUGGAGUCAAAGUAAAGCGAGCUGCACUGAAAGUAUCAAAGUAGAAGUACUCACAGCAGAAAGAUACGCCCUCUGUAACUAAGCCUCGUGUUUCAGCAGCUCGGCCGUCAGGAUGUUUGCAGUCGAGUGGAAAGCAGCAGAAAAUGGAAAUACUCAACGUUUGUACUCGAGCGAAUAAAAUGAUAUUUCACUGCUGAGAUCAGUUCUUUGCUUUUUCUGCCGUUUGUUUCUUAUUUUAGUCCAAAGUGACGUCUCAAACACAGAGACUCACUGACUGAGAGAAAACAUUUCGCUUGAAAAAUGACUAAAACGAUGAAACAAUUAUCAAAAUAACUGCAGAUUAAUUUUCUGUCAGUUGACUCUGAAACAUUAAGAACAACAAAUACGAAUUAAAAACAUGAAACAAAAACAGACAUCAAACCUCGCAUCAACACAUCAUCAAUAAUUAGAAAUGAAUAAAAAAUAAUCCACAUAUACACAAAUAUAUACACACUAAUUAAAAGCAUCAUUAACUUUCAGGAUGAUUAUUAGAAGAUUCAGUUCACUGAGACAUUAAUAAUAUUCCUGUUUAUUAACACGAAUAUGGAUAUUUUCCUAUUUGAUGGGGUUUGCAUUAUGAUGUCUGCUGCGUCUUAAAUUAAAUAAAACUUUUGAUCUGAAAAAUCUGCGUCACAAA